rnacentral:rRNA from 1 species
UGACCUCGGAUCAGGUAGGGAUACCCGCUGAACUUAAGCAUAUCAAUAAGCGGAGGAAAAGAAACCAACAGGGAUUGCCCCAGUAACGGCGAGUGAAGCGGCAAGAGCUCAAAUUUGAAAGCUGGCUCCUUCGGGGUCCGCAUUGUAAUUUGCAGAGGAUGCUUCGGGAGCGGUCCCCAUCUAAGUUCCCUGGAACGGGACGUCAUAGAGGGUGAAAAUCCCGUAUGGGAUGGGGUGUCCGCGCCCGUGUGAAGCUCCUUCGACGAGUCGAGUUGUUUGGGAAUGCAGCUCUAAAUGGGUGGUAAAUUUCAUCUAAAGCUAAAUAUUGGCCGGAGACCGAUAGCGCACAAGUAGAGUGAUCGAAAGAUGAAAAGCACUUUGAAAAGAGAGUUAAAAAGCACGUGAAAUUGUUGAAAGGGAAGCGCUUGCGACCAGACUCGCUCGCGGGGUUCAGCCGGCAUUCGUGCCGGUGUACUUCCCCGCGGGCGGGCCAACGUCGGUUUGGGCGGUCGGUCAAAGGCCCUCGGAAGGUAACGCCCCCAGGGGCGUCUUAUAGCCGAGGGUGCAAUGCGACCUGCCUAGACCGAGGAACGCGCUUCGGCUCGGACGUUGGCAUAAUGGUCGUAAGCGACC